UUCUAAGUUUUCCUAUCCAAAAGCAUAAACCCUGAAACAGAACAAAUAAGAACAUAGCUUGGCCGUUGAGGAGCACAAGGCAUGUGUACCCUCGAACCUGACGUCGUUGCUGUCCGCGGCUACGAGCUACGCCUCAUUCGUUGCACCCUCAGCCCUUCACAGCCGUUGGAUCUCCGCCAGGAUGGUGAAUCCUUGGAUGGCCUCAUCAACGACCUCUUGAACUCCGUUGAGCGCGGCAGCUACGUAGAAGCACUCACCUCCGAACCCUCAUCCAGCGUCUUCCGAUUCGGCGAUCAUGACUCGCUACCACUGGACGCCGCUGACCGGUUCUACUCCGAGUUGGUCCACCGCGCUGAGUCCUUCAUCACAGACGCCGCCUCCAACGCCGCCGAACAGCGUCGCAGGGCAAUGAUCGUUAUGUGCCUUGCGGUUGCUGCUUUUCUAGGGUUCACUCAAGCAAACUUCACCGGGCCUUUGAAAGGAACAGAGCUACCGAAAUGUCCUCUGUGUUUGGAUGGUAGUGAUGAAUGGGAAAAUUGGGCGCGGAAUCAGCUUAUGUCUGCUGGUUCUGACUUGCUUGGGAAGUUCUCGAAUCUUCAGUAUAUAGUUUUUGCUAAGAUGUUGCUUAUGAGGAUGAAGGAUUUACGCGUUGAGAUGGGAAGCCUGUCGUGGUGGAUUGCGAGGGUUUUGCUUCUUCAACAGAGAGUUUUGGAUGAGCGGUCUUCGUCCUUGUCUGAUCUCUUGCAUGUCUACAUGAGUGAAGCUUUGCAACAAUUCGGCACUUGGGAGCUAGUUCGGAGUUACUGGGAGGAUAGUUUACGUAGUAGCGAGAGCUUGGAUAUUGUCUCCAUGCUUCAAUUAGAGGCCGGCAUUAUGGAAUAUAGAUAUGGACGAGUUGACUCUUGCAGGAUGCAUUUUGAGUUAGCUGAGAUGGCUGCUGGGCUUCAGCUUUCAGUUACUGGAGUACUCGGUUUUCGUUCUGUACAUCAGGCAGAGCCUAAGGCACAGAUGGUACUUGUUACGAACACAAGUACAUCGAAUCUGGAUGACUUAACAGGUACUGGUAUCCAAACAUGUGAUUCCAACAAUGGUGAAGGUAGCUGGAAUUUGCAUCAGUUUGAAACCUCUGAGGCAUCUGACAUACUUAGAAUUCCAAAGUUGUUAGAAAAUGAUGACUCUAAAACUAAGUCACAAGGCGUGGAAAAUGGUGCCCAUUUUACUCCAAGUUUGACAGCAACACAACAAGCUGUAAUUCUGGCAUACUGUCUUCUAAUAGAGAAGAGCUCCCGACAUGAUGAAUUGCAACGAUGGGAUAUGGCACCUUACAUUGAGGCAAUUGAUUCCCAACAUUCGCUUAACUUCUUUAUACGGUGUUUUUGUGAUAGUUUACGUAUACGGUGGGAGUCAUCUCGUAGCCGAACUAAGGAGCGUGCCUUACUAAUGAUGGAUAACUUGGUUAAAUGUAUACAUGACUCUUCUUCAUCAGUCGCUGAAAGAAUUCCUUUCUGUUAUGCUGUUUAUAUGCCUAGUAUUCCUGCAUUGAGGAAGGAAUAUGGUUUACUUUUGGUGAGAUGUGGUUUGAUAGGGGAGGCAAUGAAGGAGUUUGAAGAUUUAGAAUUAUGGGAUAAUCUUAUAUACUGCUACAGUUUGUUGGAGAAGAAAGCAAGUGCGGUUGAACUUAUACGGAAAUGUCUUUCAGAAAGACCAAAUGAUCCCAGGUUAUGGUGCUCCCUGGGUGACACUACUGCUAAUGAUGCAUACUAUGAAAAAGCAUUGGAAGUUUCUACCAAUAGGUCUGCUAGAGCGAAGCGUUCUCUAGCUCACAAUGCAUACUGCAGAGGAGAAUAUGUGACAUCUAAAAUUUUAUGGGAGUCUGCAAUGUCAAUGAACUCUAUGUAUCCUAAUGGUUGGUUUUCAUUUGGAGCUGCUGCGUUGAAGGCUCAAGAUAAAGAAAAGGCCCUGGAUGCAUUUACUCGUGCUGUUCAACUUGAUCCUGAAAAUGGUGAAGCUUGGAAUAAUAUUGCAUGCUUGCAUAUGAUCAAGAAAAAGAGCAAGGAGGCCUUCAUUGCAUUUAAAGAAGCCUUGAAAUUCAAGCGAAACAGCUGGCGAAUGUGGGAGACCUACGGCUUUGUUGCUGUUGACAUUGGCAAUAUCGGUCAGGCACUGGAAGCUGUCCAGAUGAUUUUGGACAUGACCAAUAAUAAGGUAGUAGAUUCUGAAUUAUUGGAAAGAAUCACAACGGAGGUGGAAAAGCGGGUUUCAACAAGCAAUGUGCCUGCUUUGAUAACUGAAAAUCAGCCUAAAGCAGAUCAAUUCCGCGUUGCUGCUUCUGGUUCAGAAUAUCAAGAGCAAGUAUCUGAUGCAGGAAGAUCACGUGAAACUGAAAAAUUAUUUUUGUUACUUGGAAAAGUUUUACAACAGAUAGUUAAAAGUGGGAGUGGAUGUGGACCUGAUAUCUGGGGCUUAUAUGCCAAAUGGCACAGAAUUAAUGGAGAUCUCACUAUGUGUUCUGAAGCCCUAUUAAAGCAUGUUAGGUCACUCCAGGGAUCUGAUGUAUGGAAGGACCGAGAUCGCUUCAAAAAGUUUGCAAAAGCAUCUUUGGAGCUUUGCCAGGUUUAUGUGGAAAUUUUUUCAUCCACUGGUAGUAUUAAACAAUUGGCUACGGCGGAGAUGCACUUGAAGAAUGUAAUUAGACAGGCUGAGAGCUUUUCUGAUACCGACGAGUUCAGGGAUCUUCAAGCUUGCUACGAAGAAGUGAAAAUAAAACUCCAAUCGAACGCAUUGCGUGGCUAAAAUCUAGAAGCCAUAGGAGACGUCGAGAGGUUGCUUUCAGAAUCAUGAAUGUGGAAAACGUCACCCAUUACAGAAAAUAUUGGAGACAUAUUUUGGAGCAUUAGGAGGUGGUGUGGUCAUCAAAGAAUUUACUUUUAGUCAUUUCAAUUUUAAUUAAAUUNUAAUUUAGUUGAUUAGAAACUUUAAUUAAGCUUUUGUGCACUUGGGCCAAUGUUGGCAAAUUUUAUGAUGGGCCCAAACUUUGAGGGACACUUGGCAAAGACUUUAGCGUUUCUUUUAGAGGUGGACCCCACCAUUUUAGGGUGUUGGACGAUUUUAGAGAGCAAAUGCCGAGACACACUCUUGGUCUCCACUUUUCAUUUUCACUUUGCAUGUAUGAAUUCUCUCUUGGAGACCAUGAUGGGUGCUAGGGCUUUUUGAGCUAUGAAUCAACAAGAUCACGUUUUUCUUCC